AUUGAACGCUGGCGGCAUGCCUUACACAUGCAAGUCGAACGGCAGCGCGGGAGCAAUCCUGGCGGCGAGUGGCGAACGGGUGAGUAAUACAUCGGAACGUGCCCAAUCGUGGGGGAUAACGCAGCGAAAGCUGUGCUAAUACCGCAUACGAUCUACGGAUGAAAGCAGGGGAUCGCAAGACCUUGCGCGAAUGGAGCGGCCGAUGGCAGAUUAGGUAGUUGGUGAGGUAAAGGCUCACCAAGCCUUCGAUCUGUAGCUGGUCUGAGAGGACGACCAGCCACACUGGGACUGAGACACGGCCCAGACUCCUACGGGAGGCAGCAGUGGGGAAUUUUGGACAAUGGGCGAAAGCCUGAUCCAGCCAUGCCGCGUGCAGGAUGAAGGCCUUCGGGUUGUAAACUGCUUUUGUACGGAACGAAACGGUCUUUUCUAAUAAAGAAGGCUAAUGACGGGACCGUAAGAAUAAGCACCGGCUAACUACG
rnacentral:rRNA from 1 species